GACGAAGGUGGCAAGCGUUGCUCGGAAUUACUGGGCAUAAAGGGCGCGUAGGUGGCGCAGUAAGUCGGCGGUGAAAGCCUGUGGCUCACCCAUAGAAUUGCCGUCGAUACUGCUGUGCUCGAGGGCAGGAGGGGAGAGUGGAACUCCUGGUGUAGCGGUGAAAUGCGUAGAUAUCAGGAGGAACGCCGGUGGCGAAAGCGACUCUCUGGACUGUUCCUGACACUGAGGCGCGAAAGCUAGGGGAGCAAACAGG
rnacentral:misc_RNA from 1 species